AGGACGAACGCUGGCGGCGUGCUUAACACAUGCAAGUCGAGCGGUAAGGCCCUUUCGGGGGUACACGAGCGGCGAACGGGUGAGUAACACGUGAGCAAUCUGCCCUUCACUUCGGGAUAAGCCUCGGAAACGGGGUCUAAUACCGGAUAUGACCGCGCUACGCAUGUGGUGUGGUGGAAAGUUCUGGCGGUGGAGGAUGAGCUCGCGGCCUAUCAGCUUGUUGGUGGGGUAAUGGCCUACCAAGGCUUCGACGGGUAGCCGGCCUGAGAGGGUGACCGGCCACACUGGGACUGAGACACGGCCCAGACUCCUACGGGAGGCAGCAGUGGGGAAUAUUGGACAAUGGGCGAAAGCCUGAUCCAGCAACGCCGCGUGAGGACGACGGCCUUCGGGUUGUAAACCUCUUUCGGCGCCGACGAAGCGAGAGUGACGGUAGGCGCAGAAGAAGCACCGGCCAACUACGUGCCAGCAGCCGC
rnacentral:rRNA from 1 species